rnacentral:rRNA from 1 species
UACAGAGGUCCCAAGCGUUGUUCGGAUUCAUUGGGCGUAAAGGGUGCGUAGGUGGCGCCGUAAGUCGGGUGUGAAAUUUCGGAGCUUAACUCCGAAACUGCAUUCGAUACUGCGGUGCUUGAGGACUGGAGAGGAGACUGGAAUUCAUGGUGUAGCAGUGAAAUGCGUAGAGAUCAUGAGGAAGACCAGUGGCGAAGGCGGCCUUCUGGACAGUGACUGACGCUGAGACGCGAAAGCGUGGGGAGCAAACAGG